rnacentral:rRNA from 1 species
AGAGUUUGAUCCUGGCUCAGGAUAAACGCUGGCGGCGCACAUAAGACAUGCAAGUCGAACGGACUUAACCGUUAGUUUACUAAUGGAGCGGUUAGUGGCGGACUGGUGAGUAACACGUAAGCAACCUGCCUAUCAGAGGGGAACAACAGUUAGAAAUGACUGCUAAUACCGCAUAUGCCUUAGCAACACAUGUUGCAAAAGGGAAAGGAGCAAUCCGCUGAUAGAUGGGCUUGCGUCUGAUUAGAUAGUUGGUGGGGUAACGGCCUACCAAGUCGACGAUCAGUAGCCGGACUGAGAGGUUGAACGGCCACAUUGGGACUGAGAUACGGCCCAGACUCCUACGGGAGGCAGCAGUCGGGAAUAUUGCGCAAUGGAGGAAACUCUGACGCAGUGACGCCGCGUGCAGGAAGAAGGUUUUCGGAUUGUAAACUGCUUUAGACAGGGAAGAAUAAAGACAGUACCUGUAGAAUAAGCUCCGGCUAACUACGUGCCAGCAGCCGCGGUAAUACGUAGGGAGCAAGCGUUAUCCGGAUUUAUUGGGUGUAAAGGGUGCGUAGACGGGAAAUUAAGUUAGUUGUGAAAUCCCUCGGCUUAACUGAGGAACUGCAACUAAAACUGGUUUUCUUGAGUGUUGGAGAGGAAAGUGGAAUUCCUAGUGUAGCGGUGAAAUGCGUAGAUAUUAGGAGGAACACCAGUGGCGAAGGCGACUUUCUGGACAAUAACUGACGUUGAGGCACGAAAGUGUGGGGAGCAAACAGGAUUAGAUACCCUGGUAGUCCACACCGUAAACGAUGGAUACUAGGUGUAGGGUGUGAUAAACAUUCUGUGCCGUCGCAAACGCAAUAAGUAUCCCACCUGGGGAGUACGGCCGCAAGGUUGAAACUCAAAGGAAUUGACGGGGGCCCG